rnacentral:rRNA from 1 species
CCGGCACGGGUGAGUAACACGUAUCCAACCUGCCGUCUACUCUUGGACAGCCUUCUGAAAGGAAGAUUAAUACAAGAUGGCAUCAUGAGUCCGCAUGUUCACAUGAUUAAAGGUAUUCCGGUAGACGAUGGGGAUGCGUUCCAUUAGAUAGUAGGCGGGGUAACGGCCACCUAGUCUUCGAUGGAUAGGGGUUCUGAGAGGAAGGUCCCCCACAUUGGAACUGAGACACGGUCCAA